rnacentral:lncRNA from 1 species
CUGAGAAGUGAGGAGCCUCUCCGCCCGGCAGCCACCCCAUCUGGGAAGUGAGGAGCGUCUCCGCCCGGCAGCCACCCCGUCCGGGAGGGAGGUGGGGGGGGUCAGCCCCCCACCCGGCCAGCCGCCCCAUCCGGGAGGGAGGUGGGGGGGUCAGCCCCCCGCCUGGCCAGCCGUGCCGUCCGGGAGGGAGGUGGGGGGGUCAGCCCCCCGCCUGGCCAGCCGUGCCGUCCGGAAGGGAGGUGGGGGGGUCAGCCCCCUGCCCGGCCAGCCGCCCCGUCCGGGAGGUGAGGGGCGCCUCUGCCCGGCCGCCCCUACUGGGAAGUGAGGAGCCCCUCAGCCCGGCCAGCCACCCCGUCCUGGAGGGAGAUGGGGGGGUCAGCCCCCCCACCCGGCCAGCCGCCCCGUCCGGGAGGGAGGUGGGGGGGUCAGCCCCCCGCCUGGCCAGCCACCCUGUCCGGGAGGGAGGUGGGGGGGUCAGCCCUCCGCCCGGCCAGCCGCCCCGUCUGGGAGGUGAGGGGCGCCUCUGCCCAGCCGCCCCUACUGGGAAGUGAGGAGCCCCUCUGCCCGGCCAGCUGCCCCGUCCGGGAGGGAGGUUGGGGGGUCAGCCCCCCGCCCGGCCAGCCGCCCUGUCCGGGAGGGAGGUGGGGGGGUCAGCCCUCCGCCCGGCCAGCCGCCCCGUCUGGGAGGUGAGGGGCGCCUCUGCCCAGCCGCCCCUACUGGGAAGUGAGGAGCCCCUCUGCCCGGCCAGCCGCCCCGUCCUGGAGGGAGGUGGGGGUGUCGGCCCCCCGCCCGGCCAGCCGCCCCGUCCGGGAGGGAGGUGGGGGUGUUGGCCCCCCGCCCGGCCAGCCGCCCCGUCCGGGAGGGAGGUGGGGGGGGUCAGCCCCCCUGCCCGGCCAGCCGCCCCGUCUGGGAGGUGAGGGGCGCCUCUGCCCGGCCGCCCCUACUGGGAAGUGAGGAGCCCCUCUGCCCGGCCACCACCCCGUCUGGGAGGUGUGCCCAACGGCUCAUUGAGAACGGGCCAUGAUGACAAUGGUGGCUUUGUGGAAUAGAAAGGCGGGAAAGGUGGGGAAAGGAUUGAGAAAUUGGAUGGUUGCCGUGUCUGUGUAGAAGGAGGUAGACAUGGGAGACUUUUCAUUUUGUUCUGCACUAAGAAAAAUUCCUCUGCCUUGGGAUCCUGUUGAUCUGUGACCUUGCCCCCAACCCUGUGCUCUCUGAAACAUGUGCUGUGUCCACUCAGGGUUAAAUGGAUUAAGGGCGGUGC